CUUGCUUGUGUAUUAACUGGGUGUGCCUAAAUGUACUUGCCAUGUUAAAUGUAUAUUUGUUAUCUGCAGUAAUUGUAACCUUCUUGUGUUUGCCUUUAUCUGUCUAUUUGUCUGUGAAAAUACAUGAUGGAACUGGAGGUAUGGAGGAAAGGCAGUAUGGGACUUAGAGAUUUAAGAUGCAGGUCGAGAGGCAUCUCGUUAGGCGUCUGGACUCUUGAGGCGGAGUGGUUACUGGGAUAUUUUGUUAUGCUAUGAUGUAUAUAUAUGUACUUAGCUUUCUCUCCGCAUGACUUAUUCUUUUUUAUCCUCUUAGAGGUUUAUGGAGAGGCAGGAUUGUGUAUAUGUACUUUUGGGUUUUUGAUAUGUAUGUAUAUAUGUGUAAAUAUUCUCCGGCCAGUCUUGACUUCGCAGGCUGAGUUAGGAGCUUGUUAUUUUGUAUCUUUGGUAUUCUACCCCUACUUCUGUUAUCUUAUGUUUAAUAGUUAUGGUUUUCUUAGCACGCA